UGAUACACAUACGCACACCUAGAAAGUUAUUUUGUUUUUUUUGGUUUUGCUUUUAACUAUUUGUAGGUUACAGUAUUUUUGGAUUCUCUUCUGGAAUUAAUAUCCUAAUGCUUGCACGCUGCAGACUCAAAACCGAUUUCCCCUGAAUAUUUGGAAUUAAUUCUGUUGAAGAGACUGACGAAAGUCUCUAUCUAAAACUGAGAGACAUUUUUGCUUGGAAAUCUGAAAAAUGGACAGCGGCCUGCGGUCUGGUCAAAAUAGGAAUACAAUCUGCACUCUUUAAAUAAACUGUGUACGCUCCUGUACCCAUGCAGGCAAAGAGUAUCUUUUUUGGGUUACUGGUUUUGUUUGCCUUUGAGCAGGUUUUGGGUUUCCACGAAUCUGAUGCUGUUAUCGCGCCCAUUGUUUAUGCACACUAAUUAACUGUCAACUAGUAUAAAUAAUACAUAUUGUGUGGCCACAUAAUCCAUAAUUUAAUUAUGCCCCUGACGCCCAAAAUAUUUACUGCAAAUUGCAGUCAUCGGAUGCGUUGUUGAUUUGCUGUUUGGUCUUGCGUGAGGCGCGGCGGAUGAGGGAUCUAAAAAGGCAAUGCAUAUAGAUAUAAAGGGUGUAAAGAAAAAGGGAAACCAGAAUGCAGGCAUGUGUGUCACUCACCUGGAACGCGGCUUCAGUUUCGCCUCGGCACUGGUGCUGGCCACAUCUACAGCAUCGACGAGGCUGGAGGACUUCUUAUCGCCGCUGCCCCCAGCCCCGCCCAAUGCCGGAC